rnacentral:lncRNA from 1 species
UAGAGGUGGGCUGGCCUAGGACUGUACACUUCUCUAGGAGCUGGGCUUAACUAAAACAGAAGAGAUUGCGGUUAGACAUCAAGAGGAACUCAGACCCGUGGGAAAGAACCAGGACCUGAGGCAAAGGCGAGAUUUGGGUGGUGGACGGGGGACAGGGAGACUCUUCACAGUCCUCACAGGACCUACACAGGGGCCUAUGGUCUCAGACCUGGGAUCAUGUUCCUGAGGGGGUAUAAGAGAGAGGGGCAGGUCAGGAAGCAUAGGAAGUCCCAAGUCUCCAGCCGUAUUUGAUUCCACUAUAUCUUGACGUCUCAGGAGUGAGGGCAAGAGGGGUCUCAGAGCAAAUCCAGAUCCUUUGAGAGCUUCUGUCAAGCUGGGAAGUCUGGAGCAGUGUGGGGGGUGAGGAGGUGGGGUGCGUUGCGAAGCAGACCCUUCCCGUGGUGCACUUGGACCCUGCGGGCAGGCAGCUUCAUUUGAGCAGGUGUCUGCACAGAGAUACCUGUGCAGCCCCUGCUGAGCCUGCAGGCUCCACUCAGCCCAAGUCUUCGUUGUCCUCUGGCCGCCAGGGCUGUCAGUGUUCUUUCCUCUCUUGCUCUGCUUUUGCUCCUGGCUCUGACAGUGUUGAGUGCCACAAAAGGACAAAAGUCCUGAAGGUCAACCUGGGGACCCGAUCCAGUAGGGUCUCUUCUCUGCCCUGCGACUGCCCUGUUCCCAUUGCUUCAGAAUCCU